ACGUUAGCGGCGGACGGGUGAGUAACACGUGGGUAACCUACCUAUAAGACUGGGAUAACUUCGGGAAACCGGAGCUAAUACCGGAUAAUAUUUCGAACCGCAUGGUUCGAUAGUGAAAGAUGGUUUUGCUAUCACUUAUAGAUGGACCUGCGCCGUAUUAGCUAGUUGGUAAGGUAACGGCUUACCAAGGCGACGAUACGUAGCCGACCUGAGAGGGUGAUCGGCCACACUGGAACUGAGACACGGUCCAGACUCCUACGGGAGGCAGCAGUAC
rnacentral:rRNA from 1 species